UAAAAUUUAAUGAAUCAAUCACGGACCACUAAAUCAUGUUUAAAGGACCAUUAAAGCUAAAUAUUGAUUAAUUAAAUGUUUACUGUUUAGUGAUUGUUUAUGCAAAUAUACAAUCCAGGAAUUGUAUAGUAAAUUAUUAUUUACGAGUUCUUUAUAAUAAAGUUAGUGUUUAAGUAAAUAAUAAAACAAAUGAUGUCAUCACUUUACCAUAGUAUAUUAAUCAAGUAUAAAAAUUAUGUGUCUUACGAAUUUCAGAAAUCUAUAUGGACCCCAUCAUCCAAAAGACAGAGUCACCACCACUCUUAUCUUGAUCGAGCAUAUUAUAUAAGGGUGAUCGGGAUGAGAGCUCAGCAGACGGUUAAGAUAUUCAAGAAAUUCAGAGGCAGGUCGUAACACCACUCAUAGUAUUGUUUAUUAGCAUUUUGGAGUCAUGACAUAACACCAUUCAUCAACAUCUUAUUUUUUACAAUUAUUGUAUUUCUGUAUCAAGUUAAACAUUAAAUAAAGAUUUUACCAAUA